UUCCUCUGGACAGGUUUUGAUAAAUCUCCCCCUAUAUGCGUGGACCUUAAGAUUGUGUAGGUUGUCUCCCACACUCCAAAAACAUACUGACAGCUAUACUGGGGUUCUUUACCAAGUGACCCUGUGUACGAAACAGCAAAAAUAGAUGGCGGUCCCAUUGGGAACAAGAACUAAUGCGAGUGCUGACAAUCUCUGGACAGGAUGGCAGAAUAUUUAAAAAUAUACUUUUCUACUCUUCUUGUAUAUGGCCUUCAGAAAGUCUAGUCACCUCAAUCUGGCUGCCGUUCUGUUUCCUAUGAAUUAUUAACUGGUAAUUGGAAACUAACAUUCACAGGCUUUUAGUCAGCCGAUGUUUUAUAGGAAAGGGAGGAAACAUGUUGACCAUCAAAAAAGCCAGUCAACGGCUAUGAACCCUUCCUUAGAAAAAACCUGGGCCUCUUUAUCUUAGAAAGGAACAAGUGUCCUUCUUUACUUGCUUCAAGUAGAGAAAUGUUCCCCAGACUAAAGUGUCUAGUUGCUAUAGAGCUCCCCCAUGAAACUCAAAAGGGCUCCUGAGGACAUCAGUGAAUAUGCUACACAACAUCAUUUCCAUUUUAUGAACUGAUUCCUUUCAGCUGUGCUACAUUACCAAAAACAUUUUCAUUGAGGAUUCAUAAAAACGUCAUAUACUACUGCAGUAGUAUUGGGAUUCUUCAUCCAUAUUAUUGACUGAAACAAAUCAUUUAGAUGGUUACAUUCUCAAUUCAUCAUCACUUAAAAGGCAGGAGAACAUAUGGAUAUGUUUUCUAGGAUUCACUUGGAUUCCAAUGCAGAUUGCUUUACAACUCCUACCCAAAACACAACAAAGAUGGAAAAGAUAUACAAAAAUACUCAAACAGGAGGCAUGGUGCUCUGUGGAUGUUGCAGGCUAUAUAGAUCCUAGCUGCGAGUGAGGAUUCACAUGAUUCUUAUCCUCCUGCAAAGCACAGCACCCGGGGAAGGAACACAUCUUUAAUGUCAGGGGCAGGCCUGCACGUGCAUGUCUAUUAAAGUGGCCCUGCCCCAGCUUAUUGUACAAGGACCUCCCUAGCACAACCAAAGAGGAGGACCUUGCAGGGGCAAAAUGGCCAGGCCUGCAGAUGUUUUGCUAAAAAAAAAAUUUGAACUGUCAUCAGGAGCAGGUGGAUGGCCUCGCUGACAACCUGUUGUGUCCAAUGGCUAUUCUGACCUUAAAACAUUAACUUAUUAGGAGAGUGGCAAUUAUAUCAAAUAUUUAUUGACUUUGAC